rnacentral:tRNA from 1 species
GGCCGCCUGGCGUAAUGGCAACGCGUCUGACUACGACUCUGUAAUCAGGAGAUUGCAGGUUCGACCCCUGCGGUGGUCA